AGGGUUAAAAAAUAAAUAAAAAUUUUAAAAAUUAUGUAGAGUUUAUCGGAGAAAUAAAAAUGAUAGAACUUAAAAAAUGUUUAACAACAUAAAUAGAACAGAGUUAAUGUUAAUAUGUGCUUUUUCAAAGUCUGUAGCAGCAGCAGCAGCAGCAGCCUUUGAAGUCAGAGCUAUCAUCCCAGCACAAAACAUAGGAUUGGAACUCCAAGUCAUCUGCCCAGGCAGCCAGACUCUGCCUCCUCUGGACAGCUCAGAUUAUUGGAAAAGAAUUUGCUUUGUUUGGAACUCAAAUCUGCCUCUCUUCAUCGAUACAAAGAAGCAAAACAGAUGGCAUGUACAAUGGGAUUGGGGAAGGGGGCUUUCAGGCUGGCCCUCUGGGGCCAAGUAGAACACAUCUGUCUGCUCCUCCUUCCCUAGGACAGGCUGUCCUAUGCUGGAAGCAGUCAUCAUGGCCCCCUCCUGAGCUUUUUGUUCUCCAGGUUAAACUUUCUCAGUUCCUUUCAUUGAUUCUCAUGAAGCCUGAAUGCCCUGCAGCCUGUCCACUGGCCUGGUCACCUUCCUCUGGUGUUUGUCAAUUGGGACACUUGGGAGGCCCAGAACUGAGCCCAGUGGCCCCGUAGGGAUCCCGAGGCCCUGCUGCUUUCUGGCUCUGCCGUGUGAAUGCAUGAAUGAACAAGUGAACAGAUAUCCCAGCUGUGUGGAAAACAGUUCAUUGAUCCCACAUCUUGUAGGAAAACACAGCUAUUGAGUGAAGGCGAUUCCAUUUGCAACCCUUUCUGGAGCCUUUAUCACCCCAAGGUGGGGGAGGAGCCGCCUCCUCCCUGCUCCCAGCCCCAGCAGUAUGGUAAGGGAGUGCUGGUGAAGGCAGGAGAAGCUGCCUGAUUGCAGGCCCCAGACCUGGGAUGGGGGCAGGCCCAGCAAGGGCAGGCGGAACCUAGCUCAGGUGGCAGCGAGGCUGGAGAGGGGAUCUGGUUCCCUGUGACAAAGGGCCGGUGAAUAAAACAUGAGAGGGGUCUGGUGUUAGGUUGGGC
rnacentral:lncRNA from 1 species